AUACGGAGGGUGCAAGCGUUAUCCGGAUUUACUGGGUUUAAAGGGUACGCAGGCGGUAAUUUAAGUCAGUGGUGAAAGCCUACAGCUCAACUGUAGAACUGCCAUUGAAACUGAAUUACUUGAGUAUGGUAGAGGUAGGCGGAAUACAACAUGUAGCGGUGAAAUGCAUAGAUAUGUUGUAGAACACCGAUUGCGAAGGCAGCUUACUAAACCAUUACUGACGCUCAUGUACGAAAGCGUGGGGAGCGAACAGGAUUAGAAACCCGUGUAGUCC
rnacentral:rRNA from 1 species